rnacentral:rRNA from 1 species
GUUAGGAAUAUUGGACAAUGGGCGAAAGCCUGAUCCAGCCAUGCCGCGUGAACGAUGAAGGCCUUCGGGUUGUAAAGUUCUUUAGCCGAUGAUUAUAAUGACUGUAGUCGGAAAAUAAGCCCCGGCUAACUUCGUGCCAGCAGCCGCGGUAAUACGAAGGGGGCGAGCGUUAUUCGGAAUCACUGGGCGUAAAGCGUGCGUAGGCGGUUUUGUAAGUUAGGAGUGAAAGCCCAGGGCUCAACCUUGGAAUUGCUCUUAAAACUGCAAGGCUCGAAUCUCGGAGAGGAUAGCGGAAUUUCCAGUGUAGCAGUGAAAUGCGUAGAUAUUGGAAGGAACACCAGUGGCGUAAGCGGCUAUCUGGACGAGUAUUGACGCUGAGGCACGAAAGCGUGGGGAUCAAACAGGAUUAGAAACCCUGGUAGUCC